rnacentral:tRNA from 1 species
GGAGAGGUGCCAGAGCUGGCUUAUCGGGGCGGUCUCGAAAACCGUUGUGGCCUUUGGUCACCGGGGGUUCGAAUCCCUCCCUCUCCG